rnacentral:rRNA from 2 species
CUAUACAUGCAAGUCGAACGAACUCUGGUAUUGAUUGGUGCUUGCAUCAUGAUUUACAUUUGAGUGAGUGGCGAACUGGUGAGUAACACGUGGGAAACCUGCCCAGAAGCGGGGGAUAACACCUGGAAACAGAUGCUAAUACCGCAUAACAACUUGGACCGCAUGGUCCGAGUUUGAAAGAUGGCUUCGGCUAUCACUUUUGGAUGGUCCCGCGGCGUAUUAGCUAGAUGGUGRGGUAACGGCUCACCAUGGCAAUGAUACGUAGCCGACCUGAGAGGGUAAUCGGCCACAUUGGGACUGAGACACGGCCCAAACUCCUACGGGAGGCAGCAGUAGGGAAUCUUCCACAAUGGACGAAAGUCUGAUGGAGCAACGCCGCGUGAGUGAAGAAGGGUUUCGGCUCGUAAAACUCUGUUGUUAAAGAAGAACAUAUCUGAGAGUAACUGUUCAGGUAUUGACGGUAUUUAACCAGAAAGCCACGGCUAACUACGUGCCAGCAGCCGCGGUAAUACGUAGGUGGCAAGCGUUGUCCGGAUUUAUUGGGCGUAAAGCGAGCGCAGGCGGUUUUUUAAGUCUGAUGUGAAAGCCUUCGGCUCAACCGAAGAAGUGCAUCGGAAACUGGGAAACUUGAGUGCAGAAGAGGACAGUGGAACUCCAUGUGUAGCGGUGAAAUGCGUAGAUAUAUGGAAGAACACCAGUGGCGAAGGCGGCUGUCUGGUCUGUAACUGACGCUGAGGCUCGAAAGUAUGGGUAGCAAACAGGAUUAGAUACCCUGGUAGUCCAUACCGUAAACGAUGAAUGCUAAGUGUUGGAGGGUUUCCGCCCUUCAGUGCUGCAGCUAACGCAUUAAGCAUUCCGCCUGGGGAGUACGGCCGCAAGGCUGAAACUCAAAGGAAUUGACGGGGGCCCGCACAAGCGGUGGAGCAUGUGGUUUAAUUCGAAGCUACGCGAAGAACCUUACCAGGUCUUGACAUACUAUGCAAAUCUAAGAGAUUAGACGUUCCCUUCGGGGACAUGGAUACAGGUGGUGCAUGGUUGUCGUCAGCUCGUGUCGUGAGAUGUUGGGUUAAGUCCCGCAACGAGCGCAACCCUUAUUAUCAGUUGCCAGCAUUAAGUUGGGCACUCUGGUGAGACUGCCGGUGACAAACCGGAGGAAGGUGGGGAUGACGUCAAAUCAUCAUGCCCCUUAUGACCUGGGCUACACACGUGCUACAAUGGAUGGUACAACGAGUUGCGAACUCGCGAGAGUAAGCUAAUCUCUUAAAGCCAUUCUCAGUUCGGAUUGUAGGCUGCAACUCGCCUACAUGAAGUCGGAAUCGCUAGUAAUCGCGGAUCAGCAUGCCGCGGUGAAUACGUUCCCGGGCCUUGUACACACCGCCCGUCACACCAUGAGAGUUUGUAACACCCAAAGUCGGUGGGGUAACCUUUUAGGAACCAGCCGCCU